rnacentral:lncRNA from 1 species
AGGAGAUGCACAGAGAACGAGAGAAAGGAUUUGAACUUGAAUACCACUCACUUGCUUCUCCUAAAGUCUAUCCUCACUUUAUUGCUAAACUCGAUUGCAAUGGACCAAAGAACAGAUUCGCUAACAUCUAUCCAUUUGAUGAUUCACGUGUUGUCCUCUCAGUAUUAAAUGGUAUUGAAGGAAGUGACUAUAUCAAUGCUUCAUUUAUUGAUGGCUACAAUAGACGGGAUGCUUAUAUAGCAGCACAAGGU